GACGAAGGGGGCUAGCGUUGUUCGGAAUUACUGGGCGUAAAGCGAGUGUAGGUGGUUUUCCAAGUUGGAUGUGAAAGCCUUGAGCUCAACUCAAGAAAUGCAUUCAGGACUGGGAGACUAGAGGACCGGAGAGGAUAGUGGAAUUCCCAGUGUAGUGGUGAAAUACGUAGAGAUUGGGAAGAACACCAGUGGCGAAGGCGACACCCUGGACCAGCACUGACACUGAGGCACGAAAGCGUGGGGAGCAAACAGG
rnacentral:rRNA from 1 species